rnacentral:rRNA from 1 species
AACGAACGCUGGCGGCGUGCCUAACACAUGCAAGUCGCGCGGGAAAGUUCCCUUCGGGGAGCGAGUAUAGCGGCGCACGGGUGAGUAAUACGUAGGUAACCUGCCCUUGAGACUGGGACAACCUGUCGAAAGACGGGCUAAUACCGGAUAAGACCACGAGAGCUGCGGCUCUUGGGGUAAAAGUGGCCUCUGCUUGCAAGCUAUCACUUGAGGAUGGGCCUGCGCGCCAUUAGCUAGUUGGUGAGGUAACGGCUCACCAAGGCAGAGAUGGCUAGCUGGUCUGAGAGGAUGACCAGCCACACUGGGACUGAGACACGGCCCAGACUCCUACGGGUGCAG